AAUUGAAAAAAGACCGUAGUUCGAUUGGGAAAAUUGAAAAAUACUAUUGUUUAAAAAACAUUGAUAUGAACACAAAUUUUUAUGAACUGAGGACAUCUGCAUUUUGGUCAUACGUAAUGUGAAGCCAGAUCCAAAAUCUCAAGCCCAGACCACAACCAAGGCCCCAAAACCUUAGUAGAAGGCCAGCCAAUCCCUCUCUCCUUCCCCAGUCAUCCGUCUUUCUCGUUCUCGCUAAUCUCUUUUCCCUCAUCCACUAUCGCCUUCCUCCCCUUCUCGUGACCUCUGUGCACCGCUCUGCCUAGUGCCUACCGACUACACCCACAAACACACACGUAGCCGAGUGUCAUCCCUUCUCUGCCACCCCUAGCUGCCGCCCACCUCCAUCAAUCACGAACGAGAACUAUGUUGCUCGUGAAGUGGUUGCUAGUUCUAUAACUAGCAUGAGCCACCUCCCCCUCCGACCACCUCUCUAUUCUCUCCCUCGGCUUCUCGUUGUCUGUCUAUCUCCCUCUCAUCUCUCGGUCUCAACUCUCCCCCCUCAGAUUUCUCUUAUCUCUCUGUUUUGUUCCAUCUGCUGCCACUAUCCUCCAUGCCUCGACACCGCAUCUCCAGUAAUCCUCUCUCUCCAUCUCUCUCGAUCGUCGCUCUCUGCGCCUCUCUCUCUGUAACACGAAACCCGGGUUCGAAAACCCUAUCUGCCGCCACCUCGCCGUUCCAUGUCAGCCAGAUGCCAGCCACGGUGAGCCCAUACUCUCUGUGUUUUCACACUCACUCACUCUCUCACUCGCUCUCUCUCAUUCUCUCUUUCUGUCUCCGCCUAUCUGUCUCUCUCUGAAAUUUUCCACCCGCCGACCACCCCACUACCUCUCACCAGCGUACUUCUCCUCCUUCUGCCGUCUCUUACUUUACCUCCUUCCGCCUCCGUCUCCGUCACUCUCUGUCCCUCUCACUCUCUCUGUCUCCGUCACUAUCUCGGGCGGACGACUACCCACCUCCGCCAUCCCUCUCAGUUUCCCCUCCCUCACUCUCUGUCUCACCCUCUCGGUUUCUCCUCUCUAGCUCCGCAACAUACAUGAUCUGUUUCUUUCAACCUAAGACCCACCACACCCAUUCAAGAGACCACUGCGCCUUCAGCUGACGGGAAUGACCACAGGAAGCAGCAGAGCUCGGGACGCCUAUGAUCAUCCAGGGAUUCUCCCCUUCGUGUUUCAAGAAUACAUCAUGAAUCUGCUAAUGGAUUGAAGAAGUUGAAGCGAAAGAGAGCGAGAAAGAAGCUCCUUGUAAGGCCAUGGAAGAAGUGUUCUUCUCCUUUGUAUGUGGGAUAAAUGAUCACAACAGAUGUGCAAUUAUAGAAAUGUGGGUAAAGAAAGGAGAGAUUGGAACGUGGUAAAUCUUCACUUCAGGGAAUCAAUAAAGAGGAAUCCAAAGUCUACAGUUGACACUGCUAGACAUUGAUAGUAAUUAUUGUUCAGAAACGGCGUAUAAUGUGGGUUUGAGUCCCCACAUGAGCUCCCCUGCCCUUACUUUACAUAAACAAGUUCCUAUUUUUCUGUUCAAUAUUCAGAUAUUAAAAAAUUGUAAUAAUUUUUUUUCAUAUUUUUAUAUAUUUUAUUAAUGCGAUUGAUUGAA